rnacentral:rRNA from 1 species
UACGUAGGGUGCAAGCGUUGUCCGGAAUUAUUGGGCGUAAAGAGCUCGUAGGCGGUCUGUCGCGUCGAAUGUGAAAAUCCGGGGCUCAACCCCGGACCUGCAUUCGAUACGGGCAGACUAGAGUUCGGUAGGGGAGUCUGGAAUUCCUGGUGUAGCGGUGAAAUGCGCAGAUAUCAGGAGGAACACCGGUGGCGAAGGCGGGUCUCUGGGCAGUAACUGACGCUGAGGAGCGAAAGCGUGGGGAGCAAACAGG